AUGCUGCCUAACCCCACCACUUUGACAAGUGGAUGUCAGUGGGCAGGGCCCAUGGAGCCUGCUCAGCAGAGCACUGUUGUUCCUGGAGGCCAUGCUGACUGCAGCAGUCAAGGCUUUAGCUGCUUUACCAGUGCUCCCCUCCAGAGCUCCGUGGCAGGCCAAAAUCUCAUCCACUCCUCUGCGUCCAUCCACAUGUCCUGGGAAGCCUUCCCUGAUCACCUCAGAGCAGCUUCCGAAUGGCGCCAGAGCAAUAAAGGUGAGACAAUCUUUUGUUACAAUAUUGGGGCAUUUUAGGCCUUAGAAAACAGAAUCUCACUCUCUGACCUCCUGCCCCCCUUUUAUCUUCUUUUUCUCCUCCAUGCAGGCUACAGAAACUAAAAAUAUAUUCUAAUCUUCUGACUUGAAAUUCUCUGAACUGCUUUCCUUGUCUGAUUUUAGGUUGUAAGACCCCCAUGUCCGAAGGGGUCCUGUCCCAUACUCGGGAAGAAGGAAUGCUGCAUAGACAGGCCAGGAAGAAUCUCGGCCUUACCGGGUUUCCCCACUCAAUCUAUAAGCAUUAGAUCAUACUCUUUUUGUCCAAUCACAGUUCUCCUUGGUUGUCAAUCAUACCUAUCCAAAAAAAUCUCCAUAAAAGGCCCAAGAAGAUAAGGUAUGGGAAACUUUUGCACAGCUGAAAUGCUGGAGGCUUGCAAGAAAAUGAACAAGAAUGCAUCCGCCUGCCGGGGGGGUGGCGCAUCCCUCUCCACGGGAACUGAGGCUCCUGCAGUCAGGACCCUUUCAGACCUCACCCUGUGUAUCUCUUCAUCUGGCUAUUUAUUUGUAUCUUUUAAAAUAGCCUUUAAAAUAAAUCAGUAAACCUAAGUGUUUCCCUGAGUUUUGUGAGCCACUUUUAGCAAAUUAAUCGCGCAUAAAGAGGUGGUCACCCAACUUGAAGUGGAUUGGUCAGAAGUUCAACAGGCUUGGGCUUGCAACUGGCGUCUAAAGGAAAGGCGGUCUUGUGGGACUGAGCCCUCAGUCUGUGGGAUCUGACACUAUCUCCAGGUGGAUAGCGUCGGGAUUGAAUUGGAGAACACCCAGCUAGUGUCUGCGGCAGAACUGAUUGCUUCCUGUUAUUGGGGAAAAAAUCCCCACACAUUUGGUCACAGACAUCUUCAGUGUUGAUUUUUGUGGUGUGAGAGCACAGGUAGUGUAUCUGCACGUCUCUAAUAAUCUCAAGAAUACAUUGGCCGGGCGCGGUGGCUCACGCCUGUAAUCCCAGCACUUUGGGAGGCUGAGGCAGGCGGAUCACAAAGUCAGGAGAUUGAGACCAUCCUG
rnacentral:lncRNA from 1 species